UGCUGUAGCUGGGGUUCUACAAACAUUUCCCAGACCCCAUUGCCAAAUUUCCUGUUAGGGUCUGCCAAUGGGAUACCCUAAAGGAACCCUUAAAGAUAGGAGAGACUUCAUUCCUGUUUUCCAGUUGUCACAUGAUCUCAGCUGCAGACAUCUGGCUUCUACUAGCUAGUUCUGCACUCAACAUCAGCUUUGCCACACUUCUCAGAGAUAUUUGCAGCAGUCUGACUACCCACUUGGCAGUCUGAGAUCAGUCAUCCCUUGCUUUCCCACCCUCAGGGCCAUGCCUUUCCUCAGAGGUAUAAGCACCAAGAUACCUGGAGGGAGCUUCUCCCAUAAAAGUCAGUAUCAGUCAAAG
rnacentral:lncRNA from 10 species